AGAUGGCAGCAUGCCCUGGACUUCUCUGCACGGCAGGCCAACCUACGGCUGGACAGCAGGGGAACAAGAAAAUGGAUUCCCUUCUCCUAGAGACAUGAAUGCCACCAGCCGUGGGUGCUAGAGUUUGCAGCCUAUUAGAAGAAAAUAGCAUCAAGCCUGAAAGUCCAUUUGCCACAGUGGCUCCUCCACACGUACUUGUCCAUAUGCCGCCAGCGGGGCUACUCAGCAGUUGGGCCACUGAGGGCUUAUCAGCAACAACAGGUGAGAUGAUGAUAUCCUGACACAACUUACUUCAUCCUUAUAUAUGAUAACAGGACAACUUUUUUUUGGUCCUUGCCAUAAACAGGUGACUUAAAACAAUUUCACUUAAGUCAUAAACAAGCAGAUUUGAAAUCAUAUCAAACCAAUACCCAGCACUAGUGAAUUCCUGGAAGUCACCUGAAAGGGUGGCCAGCACCUCUUUUCUUUGGCAGCCUGCUAGGAUCCAUCCUCAAAGACAGGGUCUCCCACACAAAUGCCUGCGGGAGGGGGCCAGUGAACACCCAAGGGCUGCUGUGCCGGCUCCCAUCCCCACCCCACCUCCCCAGCUGCCUUACUGGCCAGUGACAUCAGGACAAACUGCCAUGUUGACGAGGUUUAUGCCCACCCAUGCCAGUUUAUUGAGCAUCCUUGGGACAUGGCUCAUCCGCAUAAGUGAAUUUUCCAAAUUAUUCAAUUUAAUGCCACCACAUUCCAAUUUUUUAUUGUAUUUAUAUUAAUUAAAUUUUUAAUCAAGCGUAUUUAAAUAAUGCAUUCAUAUGAUUAAAAUAUCAAUAGUACAGGGAGGCUCAUAAUAAAAAUCCCUUCCCCAUCUUUUUCAGUCAUGCACUCUCUAGAGGUAUAGCCUCUUUCAACCCUCCGAUUAGUUUCUAUUUCUGUUCAUAUCGUUAUUUCUUGAUUUACCAGUUUUAGGCAUCUGUUGACUCCUUGUGGUAGAUGAGAAUUGAGCUUUCCUACGAAACUCCUCCAGGUCUCCUCCCUCCAUCCUCCCAAUAAGAACAUGACAUGAUUUUGGGUUAACUCAGUAGUUAACAAAGGCAUAUCCUUCAUGUCUGCGCUAUGUGUUUUGUGUCCUUGUGUUCCUGAAAAAAAAAAUGUUAUAGUAGUUCUUCGAUAAUUUUCUCCCCUCUAUUUUAUCUGUUGGAUCUACUGGAUUCAUAUUCUAAUUUUUAAAAAUAUUUUCUCUCUUAUUUACCCUCCCUUCACCUUUUGGGUUUACCUUACCUUCUAACCCUUCUGUUGAUUUUUUUUUUUUUAUUAUUAUGGCUUUCCUAUUUUUAAUAUACAAAUACUCAUUCUUGUUAUCUGAUUGUUCUUUUUUCAUAAUAAUCACAUUCUUGAUUUAUGGAUAUACCAUCUCCCUCUUAUCUUUCUGAAGGUAUUAUUUAUUUUUCAUUUGUCUAUUUGUUUUGUUUUCAUAGUAUUUUUGUUUGUUUUCUCUCUCUCCUUCAUGUUGGAGGCUUUCCUCAAAUGUUAGAUGUCUGUUGAUAUUUAUGAAUGAAGCAAUAAAAGCUGAAUUAAAUUGUGUGUUUGGGGAGAACUGGGGCUUCAUGGGAAGUAAGCCAGUCUUUCCAUUAACAGGCCUAUAAAUGUCAUACUCUUUUCUCAGGAACUAGAUUUCCCAACCUUGGCACUAUUGAUAUUUUGGGCCAAAUUAUUUCUUGUUGUCAGGGGCUCUUAUGCAUUGUAGAAUGAAUGCUUAGCAGCAUCAUUGGACUCUGCCCACCAGAUGCCAUAGCAACCCCCCUCCCAGAGCUGUAAUAACUAACAAUGUCUAUAAACAUUGCCAAAUGUCCCCUGGGGGGCCAAGUCACCCCACUGAGGACCACUACUCUAGAGCAAUUCUGCUUCCAACUUCUUGUUCCCUUAUCUAUUACUGCAUGACAAACUGGCCCAGAACUUAAUACCGUAAAU